GACGAACGCUGGCGGCGUGCUUAACACAUGCAAGUCGAACGGAAGGGCCCUGCGUUUGUUUGUUUCUCGUUUGCCGAGCGGGGGAGUAUCACGCGUGGAACCUCCCCUUGUCUUUCUGGUAUCACUUGGAGACUCGGGCGAUUACCCCGUAUAAUCUCCUGCUCCGUGUUGUUGGUUGGAAAAUGUCGGCGUUGGGGGAUGUUUUGGCGGGUUAUCAGCUUGUUGGGGGGGUAGGGACUGACCAAGCCUUUGACGGGUAGCCGGCCUGAGAGGGUGACCGGCCACAUGGGGCCUGAGAUACGGACCAGACUCCUACGGGAGGCAGCAGUGGGGAAUAUUGCACAAUGGGCGGAAGUCUGAUGCAGCAACGCCGCGUGCGGGAUGCCGGCUUUUGGGUUGUAAACAGCUUUGGAAGGUGCUGAAGAGUGAGUGACGGUAAUGAGUAAAGAAGCACCGGCUAACUACGUG
rnacentral:rRNA from 1 species